rnacentral:rRNA from 1 species
AAUCAACGCUGGCGGCGCGCUUAACACAUGCAAGUCGCACGAGAAAGGGAGCAAUCCUGAGUAAAGUGGCGCACGGGUGAGUAACACGUGGGUAUCUACCUUUUUGUGGGGGAUAACUUGGGGAAACCCGAGCUAAUACCGCAUAAGCUCGAGAGAGGAAAGCCGAAAGGCGCAGAAAGAGGAGCCCGCGGCUGAUUAGCUAGUUGGUGAGGUAAUGGCUCACCAAGGCUUAGAUCGGUAGCCGGCCUGAGAGGGCACACGGCCACACUGGCACUGAAACACGGGCCAGACUCCUACGGGAGGCAGCAGUGGGGAAUCUUGCACAAUGGAGGAAACUCUGAUGCAGCGACGCCGCGUGAACGAUGAAGCCCUUCGGGGUGUAAAGUUCUUUCGCCAGGAACGAUAAUGACGGUACCUGGAGAAGAAGCUGCGGCUAACUACGUGCCAGCAGCCGCGGUAAUACGUAGGCAGCAAGCGUUGUUCGGAAUUAUUGGGCGUAAAGAGUAUGUAGGUGGUGUCGUAAGUUUGGUGUGAAAUCUCCUGGCUUAACUGGGAGGGUGCGCCGAAGACUGCGAUGCUUGAGUAUGGGAGAGG